rnacentral:lncRNA from 1 species
AUGAGAGCCUCUGUCUGUGGGCCAGGCUCAGGUGACCACAGAAAGACCACAGGACAGCUCCCAGCUGCACUGCAAGCCUCUGCCCCACCGUCCCCAGCUCAGAGCAAAGCAGAAACUCGAAGCAGACGCUGCUCCCCAGAAGUAGCACGCCAAAAGAUGCUGGGACAGGCACCAUGGGCAAGGCUGUCUCCUUCUGGCCCUGCCAUCCUGCUGCUGGCCUUCUGUGCUGUCUUGACCACCCAGGACAUCUGCAGCUCUCCAGGAUUGCAGGAGCAUGGAGGUAACGACCAGACUCCAGUCCUGUACCUCAACGCUUCCAGUGCCCAGGAGGGGGAAACAGUUUUGGUUCAAUGUACCAUUGAUGAGCAGUUUCCUGCUACACGCGUGUUUUUCUGCAAGAAUGGGCUGGAGGAGUUCAGCCUGAAAGCCCAGCAUGGGAGCGUCAACUACUCUCUGGUCCUGACCAUCACCUCCAGAAGUGCUGGGAUAUACACGUGUGGGUACCAGCAGAGGAACAAGGAAAACUGGGUGAGGAACUCUGCUCUGAGUGCUCCCCAGACCUUGUCUGUACCAGGUGCAGGUGAUGGUGAGACCACGCAGGACAUCCACAGCUCCACAGGCAGCAGCCCCUCACACAAGGCCCAGCUCCCUUCCAGGGGGUCAGCCAUGCCCCUGGAGGUCUGGAUCCUGCACUCUGCCCUCAGCCUGCUCCUGCUGCUGUCUGCCCCCAUCAUCACCCUCCUCCUGGAGAGAUGCAGCCAAGGUGCCAGUGUGGCCAGGCAGCCUGGAGACGUCCCUGUCCCCAUGGAUCUCUGAUGUCUCCCUGGUCUCCAUGCUGUCCCCAGCCUGCUCCCCCAUGCUCAGAGCAUGACCCCCACACAUUUGCCAGACUCCUGCUGCCGUUGGGUUCAAGGCAGCUGUGGCAGCAUGCCCAAGGGUUGUGCUGCCACUGCUCUGCUUCCCUUUGCUCAGACCCUGCUCUCUGCUCACAUCAAGGAUUGCCACUGCAUCGUGCACCCUCCUGGCUGCGUUCAAACCAGCACCCACGUUGCUUUGCCCCCUGCCCACAGAAUCACUUCUCCAUCGCGGGAUCCUCCUCUGCAUACCAGGAGAACAUGGGGGGAUGGAGUCAUGUCUGCACCCCCAGGCAGCCAUGCUCUGCAGCUCCUGCAUCACUCCAGCACCUCCCUGUGCCCAAGGUGCCGGCCACAAUGGGCACAUCCCCAGGUGGUUACGGUGCCCUGUGUGGAGGCACCUUGGUGGGUAUUGGUCCUGUGGGAGGCCAAUUAUAAAGGAUUGGUUUCUAAUGCACCAGAUGAUGUUGCUGCUCUGUAUUUGAGAGGCACGACAGCGAGCAGAGCUGGGAGAGCUCCUCUAUGACUGCCAUAUGGGGCCAUGUGUCCUGUGAGGGAACUGCUGUUCCCUUUGCCCUGCCACCCAAGAGUUCCCCUACCUACUGCCAUUGCCCUGGCAGAUGUCACAUGUGUGAUAUACAUUCAUCUGAUUCGUGUCAGUAUGGAACAGUGCUAGGGCCGCAUGGUAUGAUGAAUGUGACCUUCUGUCUUACAUACCCUUGUAUAACCACAAGUCUAAGAAAAACAGAAUGGUUGAUAUAUAUAGUUCUUGUACCUUGCAAAGGAAUGUUUUAAGAAUUCGUGUCAAUAGAGAGCAGUUCUGUCUGUCUCUGGGUCCUGCACUGGCAAUUCAAUUCUUCCACAGAUGUGGUUUCUUCCCUUUCCUCCCAGUGUCCCAAUCUCCCCCUCAUUAUAGUCAAUUUAUCAAAUCUUCAGAAAUAUUCCUCAAAUCCAUGAGCCUAUUUGCUUUUGUUACUGAUUCCGAACUCUAAUUCCUAACACUUAAAGCCUUUUUGCCUUCUUUGUGAUUGAUUUAGCACUGCUAUAGAUGUGACUGGAGGGUCCCUGUGAAUGGCCUGUGAGGAACGUUUUAACUACUCGUGAAGUGUCAAUAAGAGAGCUAUUUGUGUUUGUAUGUUCUUUGAAGUCUCUGAUGUCUGGGGGUUUCAGAACAACUGCUAACAACUAGUAACUGUUAUGACUUCUGAAUGGGACACUAUGCAAGCCCCUGAUAUCUGGCCAGGUGGCCAGGAGAUUAAGGAGAGGAAAGAAAGAAGCUGAAGGACGGCUAGAAGACAAAACUUGCAGGGAACGCUGUGUAAGCUUUUGACCUGCUGCCAAGGAGUACAAAGGGGAAGGACGAGAAAAAAAAAAUGAGAGGAAGACUACAAGCCUUCAGCAUGAAAGACCCCCACAGACCCCCAGGGGGACCACCGGAGACUGAUGAGCAUGCUCCAGUAGGAGGGUUUGGAUCCCGGAAGCUAAUUAUAAUAACCCUUUUUUUUUUUUUUAGAAGUAGUAAUGAAUAUGUAUCAGCCUAGGAGCAUAAAAAUCAGCUGCUUGAUGUAACUGGUGUGCGUCCUGGUGGAGCAGAGUCUCCCGGCGCACCCAGAGCUGUUUGCUUACAUCUAUUCCUUUAAUAAAUUGUAAACUUUGAAUGUAGUCCUAUUUUGA